GAUUUCCUUCCUCACUUCCCACCUGCGGGCAUUGAGGCUGUUCACAGAAUUCGUCAGGGUGGAGAGGGAUCUCUGGAGAUCCCCCAGUCCAAACCCCUCUCCUGGCAGGGUCACCCACAGCAGGUAACACAGGAGCGAGUCCAGCUGGGUGCGGAACGCCUCCGGAAAGGCACGGAAGAAGAGACCGGCCCCCACUCGCCUCACUACAACCUGCGGUCAUGGAGCAGAAUUAUUCUCCAGAAACACCUAUUCACAAUCCUGUUAUGUCAGGAGCCUGGCGGAUGUCCUCAGAGGGUCACUUAUUCCCACACUUUACACCAAAAUUUAUGGGGUAUGCCCAUAAUUGGGAACUGAAACCCACCCCCUCCUCCCAAGCCUUGAUGCGAUCUACGUGCUCCUAGGUCAUCCCACUCCUGGAUAUCAUCGGGCUUUGCAGAAUGAGCACCUUGCUGUGAAAAGCAAGGUCCCUUCUGCCUGCCUGCAUGUGUGGUGCUUUCCUGCUAAAUGGAGAUUGUAUGAGUGGUGUGGGAAAUGCAGCUAUAAAUACAGAUUCUUGGAUAACCUUCAAUUCAUCGCUCGAUGCAUCUUCAACUUUGCUUUUCAGGGUCAGCUUCCAGUACUGGCCAUGCACCCACCCCUUAGCUGGAGAAUAAAAGAAGCUUGGUUAG